GAAACAUAAUAUACCAGUAAAAUUGAGCCGCCGAGACUCCUAAAGGAAUGCCCCCUUGGAUUUUAACACAUUGCCUCACGUGCUUGUCUCCUACCUUUACCCUGUUUUACAAGAAAAAUAAAGAAGAAAGAAGAUAUGUUUACUGUUUUGUCCAAAAGUUGCAGAAUAUUAAGAAGGCACUGGCAAGAAACUUGUGGGAAUGGACAUUUCCUGGAGAUUCAGGAUUCGGGGAUCAGAAGCCCUACAACAAAAAAUAAUUAUUCACAUGGGACAACAGAAGAAAACCCAGGCAGGAAAGAAAAAUUCCGUGGAGCCUAAUCGAACGUGGAAACUGGAAACCUGAGUGACCCCUAUUCAGAAAAAGAUAGAACGCCCUUUCGUGGUGAGGGUUUCAGGACAGAAGCGGCUUUGUGAAGAAUUUUGGAAUAGAUGGCAGUGCAGAUGACGUAGCUGGCCUGGCAAUGGUGGCCCUUUUCAUUCCUGGAGCAUGAUUCACUCUGAUCUUCUCCAGACGGAACAGCACUCCAGAGAACAAGCUGGUUCCAGAUCAGCCAAAAGAGAGUGGACGAGUAAGACUGGCUCAAGGAGAAGCAGCUACCAUCGAGGAGAAGCUUCAAGAUAUGUCAGUGCUCCCAUGUGCAUGAAAGCGUGGCAUGGUCCCAAUGUGGUUAUGCUUAGAAAAAUAUCGGGAGGAAAGAUGACAAAAUGCAAAAAAGUGGUUACCUAGCAUAACAGGAUUGUGAAUGAUUUAAAAUUUUCCAUAGUACCUUAUUUAUCCUUUGUUUUUUCAGAUUUUGUAAGGAAUUUUCCAAGUCUCUGUUCAUGGAGAAGUCUGUAUUCCACUGUCCCCAUUGGUGGGAAGGGAAGGUCUGGUCGUCACAUCGUCACAUCGUGGUUCAGGUCCUUUAGAUUUGGUGAUAAAAGGAAGAGCAAUUACUGGUUCUCCUCUCCUUCCUUUGCGUAGGUUUUUUCUUCCUUUCACCAAAUUUAAAUGUUUACCUCUCUCCUUCCUUUUACUCCCUUCCUUCCUAAUUGGGGCUCUAUCAUUAUCAUCAAGUUUUUG
rnacentral:lncRNA from 1 species